GUGAAAUUCUGACAAAAAGAAAGCAAUUCUAGUUUGUAAACUCUCUGCUUAGUUGGGCUGAGAAACCAGCUCCAUCCCUGUCUCUCCCUGUUGCAGCUCUGAGGUUUUUGCCUUCUUGGCUGACUUAAAGUCCCAAAACUUGGACCUCAGUUUCCAGAUUUAUGACUCUGGCUUUUUAGUGAGCUGAGACUUAGAGAUUCCUGCUUGCUGGGUGCCCACACAGGACACUGAUGGGACCUAAUGCCAGCCACAGGAUAAAUUCCAGGACCACUUAAGUUAAACUAGGAUAAAUUCUUGUGCAGUUUGAACCUCCUGAUAUUCUGGCAUGGGGGAGGGGGGUGGGCAGGGGAGGAGAGGUCUUAGCAGUGGAGUAGUUCUGGGAGCAUUUUGAUGUCUUCCAAAUGAGACACGAUUUUGCGUUUUUUUGAUGUAAAAUAGGUAUUGGCAUCCUUCAAACCUCCUUACUCGCUGCACGUUUUGAUUUAGUUUUGCGAGUUCAUUUUGGAGUAUUUCAGAGAGCUGUAGUAUUAAGCUUGAAGAAACCUCUAAGUUAAUUUGAACUUUAUUUUAUUUAACACUGAUCUUUAACCAUGAGUCAUUAGGAAACAUAUUUUCACAGAAAUGUGUUGUGGUUUUAAAUAGUUGUUAACUGGUGCAAGCUGCUCUUUUGCCCUUUUUAUAGUCUGAAGCCUGUGUAAUGGAUAGGUACGCUCCUUCCUUUUAAAAGUGUGAAGUAAUAGUUGUUCCUGAGCACACCUGUCUCAUACUCCUGGAGGCAUUCUCUCUGCAUCAACAACCUGCAGGCAGAAUGCCUGCAGCAAACAUCACAUGAGGAACUCCUUGCUUACACAUAAACUACAUAUUUUACAUAGGCAGCUUCAUACAUGUAGCCUGGAACACAGAAACCAAAAUGGGACAGGAGUCUCCAGUGUGGAUCUGGAUCCAAAACCCAGUUUACGAGGAUAGAGAAGUGUGGCUCACGAAUUUCAAUAAGCCUAUGCUAGGUUACAUCAGCUCCAAUACUGAAAACCUAGGAAUUUCAUAGUGAAGUUUGAAAGAAUUCCAAACACCCUAGGUCAUUCUCCUAGUCUUAUCUGAAGCAAAAGGAGUUUCACAAGCUUGCACUAAAUAGCCUUUGUAGUGACCACAAAUAUGAGACUGUGCAGAACUUCAAUGUUUCCUGACAUGUAACUUCAGUGACUAGCUAUGAAUGUAGAAACAAUGAGUCUUUCGGAGGUAAAAAUGAUGGACCUUUUAAGCAGAUGAACUUCUGCUAAGGACACCCAAGUUUCUCUUUGCUUAAAUCACAUCCGAGUUUGACCUCAAGACUUUUCAUCCAUAAAAACCUGCCGCUGCUGCUGCUGCGCUUUCAUUUGAUCCACAGGCUGUUACAACUCCCCAUCCUAACAAAGAAGAGCUGUGUGUGAGGUUUAUCAGAACCAGGGCAAAGGCAGAUGGGCCACAACGUUUGGAAAGGCGAAGAGUCCGGUGUACUCUGCCUUUUCUGUUUAAAUUGCAAUGUACGGCAAUGUAAGCGACCUCGAAGUCCUGUGGAAGGGUCCCUCGCAGCCCGUGGAGGCAAAAGGGGUACGAGUUACGCACAGAGAUGGGGGUCACAAACGGCUGCGAAUCUUUCUCACAGAACUUGCCGAAUGGGACGGAGCCGUUGUAAGUGUUGAACCGCCGAGUGCAGAUGUAAUUAUAGUUCUUCUUUCUAUAGAACCGGGCACGGCUGAGCCCCGCAGCCAACGGGGGGGUGCCGCGGGGAAAACGUGUGUGAGAAAGGGCAGAAACGUGACACAGGGAGAGAGUGGGGGUGGAGGGAGGAGGGAAAAAGAGUGAGAAACAGGGAACACGGCGGUGAUGAGAGGAGGAAGAGGAGGAACGAGAAGGCGGCGGUGGCAGAGUGCGCUGGAGCAGAGCGGGGAGAAGGACGGGGACGCAGAGAGAAGCUGCCGCCUCCUGAGCACAACACCCCUUGUGCCGCUGGUCGCCUCCUGAAGGGACCGACUGUCACUCGCAGUGAUACAAAAGGGGGGACAAGAGGCACCUGGAGCGAUGAGGAGCCUGGGAAAGGGGGAGGAAGGUGCUUUCCCCAAGA